AUGGGGAAAUGUGUCUACCUGCAAAUUUUAUUUUAUGUUUCUGGACUACACUUUCUGUCCGCAUCACCUGUGGUCCAUUUUGUUCAGGCUGGACAAAAUGCUUCCCUGUCAUGCAACCUCACAACCAGUAAAGAAAUAAUCUGGCUCCAAAUGCGCUCAGAGGAACUUGUUAUCCUUUUAACUGUUAACAAGGCAUCACAUUUUCUAAAUACUUCAGCAGUUAAUGAGGAAAUCAUGGGUCACUUUGACACAAAGGAAAACAACAGUUUGGAGAUCAUUGUGGUGACAGAAGCAGAUUUGGGACUGUACUACUGUGCUGAUCGCUACCAUGGGACAAUGCGAUUUGGAAAAGGCAUCCGUCUGACUUUUGCAGAUGCAGAGGUGGCAGAGAGGGAAUUGGUGUCGUGUUGGACUCUCCUGGCCUGUGUUGCCCCAGUCUCAGUCUUGUUCAGCGCUCUCUGUGUCUUUGGACUCUGUUUCCAGUCAGGUAAAACAAAAUGCUCGUGCAACACCUGUGUGAACAGGAAUUCAAGUCUCAAGGAAGAGGGUCUGCACUAUGCCAGUCUGAAGUACAUUGGUAAUGCCCGCCCCACUGCUCAGGGAGUGCCAGGAUUGGCCCAGGGAGAUGUCACCUAUGCAACAGUGGCCCAAUGUGUUCAUACAGGCAAAUGAUAGAUCACAUGUACUUCUGACAUGGUUCCUUGAAUAUCCAUUCUUGAUGGAAAGAAGAUUGUAUUUUGAUUCGUGCAUGUAUGUGUGUUUCUGUAAAUAAUGAAAAGGCUUAUAAUUACUGUUAAUGUUCUCCAAAGAAUCUCAAUAAAAACAUUUUAAGGCAACAGGAUAUAGAAUUAGUUGGAUAAAAUAAUAUCUUGGGUAUCUUGAAAGGCGCAAAUAAAUGUACUAUAUUAUUAAAGACCAACCUUUGUAAAAUGUAGUCGUACUGUAAUACAACUAAAUAAAAUACGAAUGGUCUGUUAAGGAGUCAAUCGGUCAAAUCAAUGUGUUACUCUCUUCAAACCCUGGAAUGCUGGUCUAGCAGUGACCACAGCGGAAUAGAUGACGUGAUGCUGGUCUCCCUGUACCCUCGAUCUUUCCCUCCAGUUCAGCCGACCCAGAGAUGCCAACUGAACCUCAGUGUCUUCCACAUGAGAAGGGCCCUGAGACACAAACAUUCAUUUUAGCAAUGCUUUCAGUUUGCAGUGAGAUGUAUUCAUUUGUACUCACUUCUUCCACAUCACCCUGUGUGAUCUCAGACCCUAUAAGACAAAAUAUGAAACAAUCAUUUGUUUACAAUGAGAGCAAUACUUGUUGGGAGAAUGCACAUUUCACACAAACCCUACUAUUGGGACUUUUCUGGUAGCAAACAAUUAGACAGUGUUCUUUACCUAGUCUGGAGCUCCUUCCUGCUUGUGUCCUGUCACUAUAGGAAAUAAGGUGAUCAUAUCACAUGUUUGUAAAAACGUAGUUGCAUGACCUCAUAGGCCAAUGUAAUAGCUUAAUAUGGACCUAAAGUCUUGUACAAACAAGAUCAGAGGCAUAUGAUGUAACAAUAUAGUUUUCAGACAUUUUUACCUGUACUGCAAUUCUUUCUUUCUGUUCACUCUGUCUAUCAGCAAAAAGGCCCGGCAUUCCAGCCAAAAGCACCACGACGCAUAGUCCAACGACAGCUAUCAUCACCACAACUGAAAGACAAAAGCACAGUUCAACAUGUGAAAAUGUCACCUGUAUUAAAGAUAGCAGGACAAAAGAUUUGAACUACAUUUCAUUCAGUCUAAUUUGUGUCUGAAUGUCCGUGGACAACGUACCAUUUGUAGGUCCUUAUCUCUCUCAACAACAUCUGAAAAUAGGUGAAGAAUAUAGGUCAUGGAAUUUACUUUCACAGUGUUACUUUCAUACUUGUAAAAAGAAUUGCAUAGUGUUGCUGUGUGUUACCUGUUUUCAUAACAGCAGUGGUACUCUGGAUGUUGAGGUGAUCUGAGUUUGCCAAAAUAAAUAAAUAAUCAAGUCAGGCAUAAGCAUGGUAUUUUAAAUGAAAAGGGAAUGGCAUUAGAGGGGUCUCUAAAGUGUGGUUCCCCCAACGCUUUCUCUCACUGCUUUUCCUAAGAACUGAUGAAGUUGAUUGUUGAGCCUGAUCUUUUAAUUAAAUGAAAAUGUCAUUGUUAAAAUUCAACAUGGACAAUUAAAUAGAUAAAAUGCCAUUUGGAAAGCUCUACCUGUCAACACUGUUACUUUAGCUGUCGUUUCCCCAUUACACAGGUACUUUCCAGAGUCCCCUGGCUGCAGAUUGAGGUUCUGCAGGGCUCCAUCUUCAUCAAAGGAAAACCUGUUCUGUGGGUCCUCUCUCUCCCUUUUCCUGUUUCGCAUGACUAUCUUUCUUGAAGAACCACCUCUGCUUGGCUUUUCUAGAUACUGUACAGGGCAGCAAUAGGGUUCUGCCAGCAGAAACAGCACCUUUUUGGCCUGUGGGAAGACAUUUAUGAAAUGAUUGUAACAAGAUGCAGAAAUGUUAAAGACAAUGAUAGGAAUAUGCUCAUUAGACAAAAAAAAAAAUGUUCAGCUAAUUUCCUUAAAAAUGUUUACUUAUAUUAUUCUAUCCCUCCAAUGACAGAACAAUUUCAUUGGUGGUUGUCCACUUGUUCUGCUUGAAAUUGAUAAUUGGUAAACAGUCAGUGGUCCAUUUUCAGCUCUCAUCAUCAAGGACAGCAACCAAUAUAUUUAUAAAAAACAUAUUCAUUAUUUUAGAGGGGUGGAAAGAUAAGCGUUACAUUUCACACACUGUAACCUCCUGUCCUCAUACCUUUCAGUACCUCCACGUCUGCCACUAGCUGGUCGUUGCAGUGGUAGGCUCCAGAGUCGGAGGGCUCCAGCUCUUCUAUAACCAGAGAGUCAUCAGGCUGGGGGUCAUAUUUCUGGUGGUUCCGGUAAGCAACCGACUGGCUUCGUUUGAUGACUAUGAUCCCGUUGACCUGGUGUCUCCACUGUAAGUCAACGGUGCCACUGCAGGCCAGGUACAGACAAUAAUCCUCAGGCACUGAGACUCUUCUCACUGACGGCAGACAUAGCAGGCGUGAAUUGAGUUUGUCUAACUAGAAUAAACUGGACUAACUGAUAGUGGGACAUAUAGAAAACAUUUUGGCAAGUUUGUCAACCCUUCUGAGCAUGUCUGAUUUGUGUCACAGCUAAUUUAUUCAGACUCAAAAUGUGGGGUAAUGUGUUGGAUCAGGGUGGUUUUCUGAGAGCCUGACUUGUCAUAAGCCUGUGCCAUCACCUGAGAGUGCAGUCUACUUCCACAGUGGCUGUAUGUAUAAGAAUAUACAUUUUUUGUCUACAACUGCAUGCAAGGCUAUGUGUCACAUAUCUUCCUGAGUCAAUUUAGGUCCUGCUUCCUGUGUGAUCCACUAUUCCUCUUCAUCUAAAGCGAACAUGGUAUAUCCUUAGAUUGGGAAUACAAUUAGCCUGCUUCAAGGAAGAUGAUGUGUGUGUUUUUGACAGAAUGUAUUGAAUGUAUUGAAUAUCCACGAACAAUGAAGAAAGAGUUAUUUUGUCACUGAUAAUAGGCAACUAUGAUUGUUCACAUAUAUGUCUUCAUGAAGUAGCAUCUUAAGUCAAGUUAAAUAGAAAUUGCUCAUAAUUAUUCUGAUACACUAUGGUUUUCCCAGUAGCUAGUAUUACUACUUCCUAUUCUUACGUUUUGUUAAUUUUCUCUUGGAUAGAAACAAAAGUUUUGAGUGCGGCCCGUGUAGUACUCAAUGCACAUAACAAAAUGUUCACUUGUCACAUCCUGACCAUAGAGUGCUCUUAUUUUCUAUGGUAGAGUAGGUCAGGGUGUGACUGGGGGGUUUAUCUAGUUUAUUUUUUCUAUGUUGUGUUCUAGUUUCUUUUUUCUAUGUUGGGUUUUUUGUAUGAUUCCCAAUUAGAGGCCAAUUAGAGGUCAUCGUUGUCUCUAAUUGGGGAUCAUAUUUAAGUAGUGCUUUUUCCCACCUGUGUUUGUGGGAUUUUGAGUUAGUGCAUGUUGCACCGCUGUCGUCACGGGUUGUUGUUUGUUAUUAGUUUAUUGUUUGUCUUGUAAGUUUCACAUUCAAAUAAAAGAUGUGGAACGAUACUCACGCUGCGCCUUGGUCCGUUUCUACACACAAGCGUGACGUCGCUGUUACACUGGAGGUGAGGAGAAUCAUUAGAAAACACAAAAGACUUUAAAAUGUUUCACCAGAACUUUUAUUAUUACGUGUUAUUACUUUUCUAUUAUUUCUCUAUUCUCUGUCUACAUUGUUGGGAAGGGCCCGUAUGAAAGCAUUUCACUGUUAGUCUACACCUGUUGCUAACGAAGCAUGUG
rnacentral:lncRNA from 8 species